rnacentral:rRNA from 1 species
GACGAACGCUGGCGGCGUGCUUAACACAUGCAAGUCGAACGAUGAAGCCGGAGCUUGCUCCGGUGGAUUAGUGGCGAACGGGUGAGUAACACGUGGGCAAUCUGCCCUUGACUCUGGGAUAACUGCGGGAAACUGUAGCUAAUACCGGAUACGACACCUUGGGGCAUCCCAGGGUGUGGAAAGAAUUUCGGUCAAGGAUGAGCUCGCGGCCUAUCAGCUAGUUGGUGAGGUAAUGGCUCACCAAGGCGACGACGGGUAGCCGGCCUGGGAGGGUGACCGGCCACACUGGAACUGAGACACGGUCCAGACUCCUACGGGAGGCAGCAGUGGGGAAUAUUGCACAAUGGGCGAAAGCCUGAUGCAGCAACGCCGCGUGAGGGAUGAAGGCCUUCGGGUUGUAAACCUCUUUUAGCAGGGAAGAAGCGAAAGUGACGGUACCUGCAGAAAAAGCACCGGCUAACUACGUGCCAGCCGCCGCGGUAA